GGACAAUGUUGAUUCUAGGGAAGAAGCUCCAAGAGAGUUCAAAGGCUUUAGGACUAGAGAUUCACGUUUCUCCAUUGUUGGUUAAAUAAUCGGUCAGUUAAUUAAGUUGAACAAAUGCCAGGUUACGGUUUUCACUUUGGUUUAAGGUCUAUACACAAGUAAUGUUAUUAAAGCUAGAAGAGAUGAUUGGUUAAAGCAUGUCCAUGUUAAAGCUGUUAACAAGUGAAACCACGAUGAGGCCAAUACACCAUCAGCUUGUGAUUGCUCGAAAGGAGAAAAAGGAUCCUGAAGUCAACCAGAUCGCGAUUCCUACUUGAAGUCAACGACUCACUAUGAAGAUGAUAUCGAUUGAUCUUCCAUGUAUCUUCCUUGUUUCCAUACAACAUUGGGCCCAGCAAUAUAUUUCAAUUUCAAGGAAAAGGCCACAUGAAAAAUAUAUUUCAAGUCGACCUUUCACGAUCUUUCUAUCUAAUUUCCUCGAUUAUCCUAUUGAUUUGACCAAUUUGUCAAAGUGUUUACAAUUUUAUCCUUUGUAGUUACAUAGACUUGCUUUUGUGAAAAUGAAAACUAUUCAUUUCACAGCUAUUUUUAGACAAACAUCAAGAAUCUAUCUGGAAAUUUAUGUAAUAAUCAAUUUAGGUUUAAAAUAUUGAUCAGUUUUUUUUCAGAUUUCAAUCUAUUCAAUGCAAUUCAAUUUUCCUAACGUGUCUUAUUUCUGUGGGAAUCAUGAUCAAUGACUUUGUUUGUCGUACAUUUCAAUUUGACAAAAACAGAUUUAGCAAUCUUUUGAGUCUGUUUAUGAAAUAAUAUCCAAUUAUACCGAUUAAUAAAUAUUAAUUUAGUUAUUGGCCUUCUGCAA